CGGCGGGGCCGCCCGGGGCUGAGACCGCCCCUCCUCCGGCCGGGCCGGCGGGGCCAGCGCACCCAUAGCUGGCCGGUCCCCGUCCCUGGAGCCCCGAACAAAGGCCGCGGGACAGUGGGGCGGAGGGAGGGCUCCUCCGCGGUAGGAGGGGCGGCCGAGCCGGGCAGGAGGGGCCCCGCGGCGCUCGGUGCCCGCGCUCGGCCGAGGGGCUCCGCCCAGUUCGCGUCCGCUCGCAGUGAGCGAUGCGUGCGGCCCGCAGCACUGCAGAGACGCGGGAGGAAGGGAGCGGAGCCCGGGCGCGGAGGGAGCCGCGGGAUCGCGCCGGGGGCUGCGCAGCCGCCAGCCCGCUCCGGGUCGCUCGGCAGAGGCGGCGCUCCGGGAGUUGCGGGCGGGCAGCCGCUCCCCCCCGUGGCAGCCGGUCCGGCCACGCCACCCCCGCGGGAGGGCGGUGCGGCCGCUGCGGCUGGUCCCGCGGAGCUGCGGGGCGGGGAGAGCCGCGUCCGGUCACGGUGCGGCGAUCCAGGCGUGCCGCAGGCUCUGCGCGGCGCUGGCGCGGCGCUCGGGCGCGUAGUGCAGCGCGGGCAGCAGGAAGGCGGCGAAGGCGGCCGCCUCCCGCGGUGUCCAGCCGUGCCGGUCCGCCAGGAUGCCGGGGAGGCUACGGGGGGAGAGCCGGGAGAGCCGCAGGAGCGCGCCUGGUAGAGACAGCGUGGGCACAGCGCCUCAGUCACACCUGCGCGGCUGAGGCUGCCGCGCCGCGCCUCGCCUCGCCUCGCCUCGCCUCAGAAUUAACCCAAAGCAUCCUGAAAGAUCCCUGCCUUCGCCUUGGAAUUAUCUCUGUGGGCUGCACCUGCGCUGCCCCUUGCAGGGACUAAGUGCGAGCUGGAGAAGCGUCCAAAGUUGACGGUGUCUCAGGAAGACAGUGUGCAGCUCGGAGCUGAGAGUGCAGAACAUAACACCCCCCCAUAUCAGCAUCUCUGAAAUAGCUGUUCAGCUGUGAAGGGACAGACACACGGUGUGGGAUGGAAAGAAGCACACAGCAUCCCACAUUGUCAUGGGAUUGGGACUCGGAACAGACUCACUGUCCAGCACGCGCUUCCUAGAUCUGCAAUUUUCACUUCUAUGCUCAUUAAAUCAGGUUCUUCCAAUUGAUUACCAAGAUCACCUCCUAGAUGGAAAGGAUAAAGAGAAAUCAGGUCUUUCUGAACCAGCAGGUACACACCACCUACCACAGGAGAGGCAUGUCUGCCUUCCUUCAAAGUUUCUCAGCCUAAAAGGUCCUAAAUACUUUUUAUCAUAAAUCAAAGGCCACCUCUGUUUUUUGAGGGAACACAAAAGAGGACCUGGUAUCCAAUAAAAACCUAAGAGAAUGUCUGGGACAAUAGUAGCUCAGAGUGGAACAAUGUGACCACGUGCUCUUGUCCUGCUGCAGGGUUCCUCUAGCUCCAAAGUUAAAUUACUGUGGGCCCAGAGGAGAGCACCAGUCAGAACCAAAACAUCUGUAAUUGCUCAGCCUUCAGCAACCCCAGCUGUCACAGACCUUGGACAUAGCCUCCUUGGCAAGCAACGUGAAGGUUACACUUUUAUAUGAUCCCAGAAAAGGGUAAUUCCUGGUUUAGUGCUUUACAGUGAACUGUCACCCUAUGCUUAAUAUUGUGCUUUUCUGCUCUGAGCAAAAGAUUCGGUCACUAAUUUAGCAUUCAUUGAUUGCCCCAGAGUUUGAGAGACAAAACAGCACUGUCGUGGGAGAAAUGCUCGCAGGAGAACACAGUGCAAGGAUAUUAUGAAAGGUCUCAUUGCUGGGAGACGAGCUAAUCUCUCGAGAAACUCUCCAGCCCUAUAUCUUAUUCAAUAUUCACACCAUUCUCUGCAAAUAAAUUAUGUCUCAAAAGGCCUUGAAGAUUAGCAGCACAUACAAGUCUCCCACAAACCUCAGAAAUGAGGGAAAUAAAGAGCAAGAGUGUCGUACAGCUUUCUGAUCAAGCCAUUUUGUAUGUAAACCUUUCAGUAGCUGAAAACACCAGACUUGGGGAACUGUCCUAUAUCUGAAGCCUUGAGAGUGAGCUCCGAGGUCGUGGUAGGGCUGUUAACAGAUAUCUGUGACUUGUAGUUGUCCUUCAUACAAACCCACCUGCAGGACCACAUUUCUGUAGGUGCCUCAAGCCCAGCCUGGUGUUUGUGUUAAGCAGAGAAAGGAAAGGCCUUUCAGCAGCAUAAGCUGGCUGUAAUGUUUUAUACUGGCUGUAAUGUUUUGUACUGGCUGUUGCAGGAGAUGUGAACCUUUCCUAAGGUAUCUGUACCUCCUGCCUCUCAUUUCCUUCCUGCCAAUAAACACCUAAGUCCAUUUUCUUGUUAAAAAAGCCCUAGAGUGCUCACCUGCUCCCUUUAGCCUCACUUCUGUUCCCUGGUCGCAGUGGAGUGUAUCCGUGAGAAGCCUUUGGAGCCUUUUGCUGCAUCCAUACAGCAGGAUGUUCUCCGGUUUGAUGUCUGUGUGGAUGAUGCGGCAGCACUUGUGCAGGAAGUGCAGCCCUGCCAGCACCUGGGCAAUGAGGCAGCACUGUCACACCAGCUCUGAGAGGGUCCCCAGCGCCUCCCUUGCUCCAGCAGCUGCCAGAGCUGCCAGGCACAGUGGGAGUGCAAGUCAGGGACAUUCUGGGCACUGAUGGUAACUAUUGGCAAUAAAGGGUUUCCUGUUGGGGUGGCCUGUGGGAGCAGGCACAAGGGGUUCCAUCACCCCACAUGGCAGCAGAGCCCCAGGAGCAAGUGCAGGCCUGGACAGCCCAGUGAGGAAAGGGCUAUUUGGGGUGAGACACAGCAAAAGGCAGUGUGACAAUCCACAGGUAUCAGCACAGGUGGGCAAGCCCAGGGAGGUGGGAAGGGGAUGGGGCUAUGAGGAGGCAUUACAGUUACAAAGCUGAGCUUUCUCCUGAAAAAACUGUGUAUGGCUGUUGUGUUCUGGGAUCACUGUGCCUUCCCACUGAUUAUAACCAGCCCCCAACUUCCAUUUGAAUAACAGUGACAUGGCAUGGGACGGUGUCCCAUCAUACAAGGAAAGAAGAAGACGCAGCAUAACCCAGACAGGAGGGGGGAGAUGCCAUGAGUGAGUGCAGAGAGAGGAUUUCAGGGCCCUGCAGGAGAGCCAUGUAGGGAAAGAACAGCUUGUGAUGCAGCAGGGAGAGCCUGGCCUGUCACAGGGGAGAGAUAAACAACACCUACCAGAGAUGAGCAGUCACUAUCAGAAAUCAAUAACAGAGAAAACGCUAUGGGGAGAUUUAGGUUUGUUUUUUAACACUCUGGUCAGUCAUAAAGAACUGGUAAAUAUUCUCUGUAUUAUCAAAUUCUAUUCUGGGAUGAACACCAGCUCCGGGGAAAUAUCAGCCUUAAAUGGUAACUGUGAAACCCGGGGAAAGAUUUAAAUAACUAAACUGGAAUGAAUCAGAAGUAAAUACUGCCUCAGUGCUGAUCUGAAAGGGGAAAACAGAUCUGAGAUUUUACAAUUAAAGCAGAUAAUGGAUCAAGCAAAAGCCUGAGUAUGAAAUGGAGCACAGAGGUAAUGCCACUACAUUUUUGUGUAACUUACUCAGGUGUUAGUGGAGUUUCUUUAGAGAAAGGAGAGGCUAUUACAGAAAAUAAGAUGAAGGAGGAAGCAAUUUUCUUUCUUAGUGUCCCUAAAAGGGCACAGGAAUGAGGGUAGCAAAUCUUCAUCUUGGCAAGUGUGCAGACUUCUGAUAAAUCUCAGCAAAAGAGGCAAAAAGUACAUUUUAACUAUUCUGAGGCCUCACUCAGGUUCCCCAUUCCUUAAGCAGAGCCAGCCCUUAAGAAACUCAGUUUUCACCAUCUUUUAAAUUGGCACAACACAUCCUUAUAGGGCAUGAAGGAAAAGUUGGCUCUGCACAGGAAAACCUCAACAUGGGAAGAGAACCAGCUGACCAAAUCAGCAAUUUAGAAAUUCCUAUAAAGAUGUGAGGGAAACCUUGAGCAGCCUUCAGUGGUACCAUGCAGAAAGCUGCUGGAGACAGUGCUACCCACGGCUGGAUGCCAAGGGCAAUACCAGCAGUCCGGCAUUGCUGCCAGAGGGGACUUCUCAGGGCAGCAGGAGGGCAGAGAUGGUUUGCCCACAAGCAGCAGAACUAUGGCAGCCUGUUUGUCCCCUGCUACUCCUACAAGCAGCAUAACUGCUGGAGAACUCAAUGAUUACUAAGAUGAUGGGAACAGAAGUGCCAGCCCUGACUCCCUGGUGUACAUCUGCAGGCUAUUGGCACUUCAUGGCCCUGACUCCUUCCCAAACCUGAGGAGGCUGCAGGCAUAGGCAGUAACACCCAAGUAAUGCCCUUCCCCUUGGGAGGAAGACUGUGACACAUCCCGCAGCCAACAGCCCCUUGGUGCCCUUGCCCAGAUCCAGCUAAGUUCUCACCUGCUGUAAAGACUUUUUCACAAAAGGCAAGGGCAGUCCCUGGGCUGUGUAGUUUCCCAUCAGACAUCGGAGGGAAGGACCCAGCGCCUCAAAUACCAGGCACACAUAUGGGAAAGAGUCAGGGAUUCACUAACAGGGAAAGGUGUUACACCAACCCUAUGCCUUUCACCAAAGCAACCAAAUACCUCCUAAUCCAGCCUCUCCCCUCCAGCCACCUCCACGUGCCCAUGUCCAGCUACAGCCCUGCUCAUCCUCCUCAUGGCAGCACAGCACACAGGUUUACACCAUCCUGUGGCUCUCCAAGGUAAACCCUGGCUUUGCUGGCCUAGAAAAGCACUCUCCACAGAAGGAUAUGGAAACCAUUCUCUCCAAUCAUUCUGAAGUCGUCUAACAAACAGACAAUGUUUUCUCCUGCCAGGUCCUUCUUCUUCAUGCAGCUCACCUGAGGGGGAGGAUUCCAAGAAAGCUGCAAUUAGAGAUAUAUAUAUGCACAAGGACACCUUGCACCUGUUCUAUCCUGUCUGACAGACCUUCUCUUCUGGGAGUGGGCACUUCAUGACAAAUCCCAUGAAAACAACAUCAGGAAAACCAUGAAUGAGUUUCUGUUUGUUUCUUGCUCUUGACCAGGUGGGACCAUCACACUCACAGUGUCAAAACAACUCACACCAAUCCUGCUGACAGUAUCUAGCACAUUUCCUGCUGCUUAUUCUCUCCAGGCAGACCCAGAAAGUGCUCCUGCUUGUGCUGGAAGGGGAUUCCCCCAAGAAGACAGCUCCUUGCUCCGAGCAUCAACGGCUGUUCAUUUCCUUUGCCUCACACCAGCCCUUCAGCAAUUUCUCUCAAGAGGUUGCAGAGAGGCAGAGACCUUGUGGCUGUCUUUGGCCACUUGAAUGCUACUUGUCCUAUCGGGGUAGAGAGCAGCUUCCACAUCUGGAAGAAGCCACUUCUUUGUGCUGGAAAAGGGUUGGCUGUGGCAAACUUGAAGAACUGUAACCAUGAGCUUUCUAGAACUAGCAGUUCAAGCCAGCUUCAAAGGCAACUUGCUACGACCCAGAUACAGGCACCUAAUUACCACCUCCAUUAGCAGAAGCCAGAAGAAGCUUUCUGACUUCAGAUGUUUAUUGUAUUUAGAAUCCACUGAAUUGCUGCAGGCCUGUACUAGCUCAGAGAACUUCAGCCCAAGAACUGCUCCUGCCUGGUUUGUGAGAGUCAUGGACAAGGAGCAAUGCUUCACAUGUGGCCUGGACUCCUCCACCGAACCUGCAUGGAACAGCAUACAGAGCUGCCCGACACCAGUCAUGCCUUAUGACAUCUGGGCCUUUGGAGUGGUAGAACUCAUCAGAGCAAUACACACUCUCAGCUUCUGCACCACCACUGACCUACAAGCCCUUGCUGAGCACAUCAUCCCUGCAAGUCACAGCACGCAUCACACAGACAGCCCUGGCAGGGCUCUGAGCCCCAAGGCCCAGCACAGACUCACCAUGCAGCAGUGCACGGGCAGGAAACGCCACUCCCUUUGUCAUCUGGCUCGUUCUGGAGCUCCCCAAAGUGAGAUACCAGCUGGUCCUGCUCUGAUUUUAGUCUGCACUGCCCCAGGAGGGGUGUCCUUGAGCCCACCAAACUUCUGCAUCGCUGGAUGGACGUGGUGAGGAGUGGGGCAGGGUAUCAGAUCACACCACCACUUCUGGGAACAACCUUGGCUUUGGGAGAGCAGGAGACCUCAGACAGCUGCGCUGGAUUCACUUUACUGCUGGCCUCUCCCUGCCUCCCUGGCAGCAGGCCUGUCAGCCUGCAGUAGAUUCACAAUCUCCACAGCAACUAUUUAUAGCGGGAAAUUCACAGCUCUACUGAGAUGGAAACAGAGAAGUCCUCCCCCUCUGCUCUGCCUUCCCCAGACCCAGAAACCAUGGGGCUGCCUGACUCUUCCCCCUGCUCGCAGCAGCGUGUCAGCAGGACUUGCUCCUGCGGCACCAUCUUCUGCCUGGCACAGCCAUCCCUGUUCCCAGACCAAUCCCUGUGCCACACUGCCAGACCUGAGGCACCUCAGCCUGUCCAGUUGUGCCUGCAUACAGUCAAACACCAUCACAGCACAGUGCUGGUGGCCACAGAGCCCACGCUUCCCCUGUUCCUCUCUCCUGGAGAGCAAGCGCAGCAGCAUCCUCCCCACAGCCCUGGGGGGACCCGAGCAUCCCAGCAACCCCAUGCAACAGUGGGAAGAAAAAGGCCACACACAGUAAGAAUCACAUUUUUUUCCCCCCCACUGCCACAUGCUGCAGCCUCACACCGGAGCUGGGCAUGGCCUGGCCUCCCCCUCGAUGGGGCCCUGGGCUCGAACAGCUCAGGUUUCCUGGCUGAGGCUGCAGAGACCGGGCCCCAGCCCUGCAGCAAAGGGUUAACCCUGCCUGCAGUAGCUCUGCUGCAGCUCCAGGCUGCCAAACCCAGGCCAGGGCCUCCCAGAGCGGUUCUCCCCCUGCCUGUGCCCCUCUGCUCUCACCUGCCUUCCCUGCACUAAAAAUACCAAGGGAGGGGGCAGAGGCUGCACCAGGCCGGGUGCUGAGCCCUGUGGGGCAGCAUGUGGGGGACAAGGGGUUUGCAACCCCUUAAAGGGCAACAAGAACACACAGUACGGAGAGGAGGGACUAAAAGAGGGGGAGAAGCAGACUCUGUACAAAACUCUGCUAGUAAAGGAAAGGGAGGGAAGAAAAGAGGAUAGAUGGGCCAGGAGCCAGCUUUCUGUCUGGGAAGAACUGUGAAAUUCAUUUAAGUUAUUUUGGUAAAUUAGGAACACUGGCUUCUGCCUCGUACUGGUGGACAAGUGACCAACAGUGACAACAGUGUACCUUCAGCAACCCUAACCCACAGUGAGAGACCACAGCCAGAGCUGCCACACACCAUGUGCCCCCAGUGCCAGCCCAACACGAGUGUCUGUGGAGGGAGGCUGCCUCCUCCCGUGGUCAGGGAUGGUAUUUGAGCUCUGGAAACUGCAGAGGGAUGCAGGUGGAAUGUGGCACAAGGUUAUCUUGAAGAAACACAGCCUAGGGAGGAGGGAAAAGCCUUGCUCCUCGCACAGCUUCCAGGUCCUGGUGCUUAAGAGUACACAGUUUCCACUGAGGAAGAAAAAGAGGCAAAUACAUUCUGGGUAAUGGCAUCAUCAUGCAAUACAAGCAUGACACAGAGGUUGUAUAUUAAAAUUUAUUGAAUUAUUGUGUAAGAAUUCUCUUUAUUAAAAUCAUUUGGACUCUAAACUGAUUAUUUACAGACAAAACCUCUUAUAUCACCAAUAGAUUCCUACAUCUCAGAACAGUAUCUACAAACAGUUAUUACACUAUGUAACAAAAUUCAAUUUUUUUCCAAGCUUUUUAUAUUAAUUAUUAAUUCCAUCUUGAGAAAGACAGUACCUUGGGUGCUCUGAGCAGAACCUAAGGUGUGGCAGGGCUUUAUUGCAGGUCAGACCA